rnacentral:rRNA from 1 species
CUGUUGUUCUGCCAAGAGCAUCGCAGCGUAGCUAAGUUUGGAAAGGAUAAACGCUGAAAGCAUCUAAGCGUGAAGCCAACUCUAAGAUGAAUCUUCUCUAAGCUCUCUAGAAGACUACUAGUUUGAUAGGCUGGGUGUGUAAUGGAUGAAAGUCCUUUAGCUGACCAGUACUAAUAGAGCGUUUGGCUUAUCUUUAAUAAAGCAU